GGUACGCCCCCGCGUCGCCCCUCUUGGGCGGCACGGGCGGAACGGAAGCCAGCGCCGCCCGAGCACCUCCCACCCUCUUCCCGACCAUGCCGCCGCCAGAGCCUGCCACCGGAAGUCCGUGCGGUGGUGAGGACGGUGGCGGCGAGGCCCUCCUCUUCUUUUUCCCUUCCCUCUCUCUCGUUUUUCUUCCCCGUAGGAUCCGCCGGUGGCUGCAUGGAUGAGCCGGCCGGGAGGCCUGCUCCGACCCCGGUUGUGCUUGAUCCGGUGUGGGCACAUCCGGAUCCGGCUCCUCCUUGUCCGGAUCUAAGGCAGCUGGCCCUGCUGCGCGCGUCCCGACGGCGAUCUGUUCGUGCCCGCGCGACCCGCAGGGACCGUGUGGUGGCGGCAGGAGCACUUGCCGCAAGCUACGGAGCUGCUGGUGGCCGCCAUUGCUUGCAGCUCGGACCUAGGGUAGGGGUAGGCGUGCCUAGUUCCGGGGGUGCGUGGCGGCGGCGACUUUGGAGCUGCUUGCAGCCGUAGUCACAGUCGCGAGCGGCCUUGACCAAGGGUAGGCGCGCUUCCGGCUUCUCUAUGGCAAGGUUGGUCGAAAACGUCGGCGAAAGCCAUGCCGGCUUUGCCGGCCACGACGAUGGUGACGCCUCAGGAGUCGUUACCCUCCUUGGAGGCAUCGUUAAGGCGUUUCCCACCCUCUUCAUGCGACCAGCCGACAAUGGUGGUAGGGAGCAGAUGCAUGGCCGACCAUUGUCGGCCAUACAUCCUAGGUCCUGUACGGACUCACACAAAGGACGUACUCGAUGAGAAGCCCUGUACGGACUCACACAAAGGACGUACUUGGUCACGUAUCACGAUAUGAAGACUACUACACAGGGAACGUAUACUACAUGGACUUCUGAAGAACUAGUCGGAAGGCAGUAGGACUACUUUGCCAAGUUAGAGUAGGACUCCCUAGUCACAUCUGACUAGUACUCUUGUUCAAAAAAUUACCCUGUAACCUUGCUCCCCAUAAAUAUAUAAGGGUGGGCAAGGACCCCCUCCAAACAAGUUCAAUCGAAUACAAGCAUACAACACACAGGACGUAGGGUAUUAUGCGAUCUAGCGGUCCGAACCUAUCUAAAUCGUGUUCCUGUGUCACCAUCGACUCCUUGAUUUCGGC
rnacentral:lncRNA from 1 species